UACGGGGGGGGCAAGCGUUGUUCGGAAUUACUGGGCGUAAAGGGUUCGUAGGCGGUGUGGCAAGUCGGGAGUGAAAUCUCCAGGCUCAACUUGGAGGCUGCUUCCGAAACUGCCGCGCUAGAGUGCGAGAGAGGCCAGUGGAAUUGCAGGUGUAGCGGUGAAAUGCGUAGAUAUCUGCAGGAACACCCGUGGCGAAGGCGGCUGGCUGGAUCGCAACUGACGCUGAGGAACGAAAGCUAGGGGAGCAAACAGG
rnacentral:rRNA from 1 species